UUAUAUUUUCUGUUAUUAAUGGCCCCGAAUUUCUUACAGAGGCAUUUAAAUUCCUCUUUAUUGAUUUUAUUUUUAUUUAGUGUUUUGGAGACAGGGUCUGGCUCUGUUGCCCUGGUUAGAGUGCAGUAGUGUCAUCAUAACUUACCACAACCUCAAAUUCCUGUGCUCAAGUGAUCCUCUUUGUCUUAGCCUUACAAGUAGCUGAGACUUUAGGUACAUAUCACUACACCUGGCUGAUUUUUCUAUUUUUUGUAGAGAAGAGGUCUCACUAUGUUUCCCUGGCUGGCUUCUAACUGCUGCCCUCAGUGAAUCCAUCCUUGGCCUCCCAAAGUGAUCGGAUUACUGGUGUGAGCCAUGGCGCCUAGCCUGAAUUCCUCCUUAAACAAUGGCCAAGAAACGAAGCCCCCAUGGAAAGAAGAGCUUCCGGGUUAGCGAACACGUAGCGGAAACAAUCGAUAGCGCGAUCCUUCCACAUGCCUUCUCCUGUGCUUCGCUUCCAUCUGGAUAUUCCUGAGACCUAGCCUUUGUGAUAAACCUGCACUCUAUGGCAGUGAUCUUUUAUUAAAAGCUUGAUGAGGCAGAAACCUUUACAGAAGUUAAAGUCACUAAAGAAACCAGGAGGAUUUCAGCUGGAAAGUGAUGGAGAAGGCAAGGCCUAAAGGAAAGUCAGUGGAGUUCAUGAGACUGGAGUACAAAAGGAAUGGCCUUUUAUUUGAAGAGAACAUCAGAUGGACAUCAUUACCAGAAUGGAAUCUGAGUGAGGUAACCAUUCACAUGACAAGGAGGAUUUUUUUAUUGGCCUACUCUGUUUUGGUGUUACACUGUUUUUAGUUAAGCUGUGAAAGUGCAAUAAAAUGGAAGAAACAGCUCUCAGAUAAUGUGUAUUUAUCUCAUCUGUGGUUGAUUCUCAUUGGAC